UACGGGGGGGGCAAGCGUUGUUCGGAAUUACUGGGCGUAAAGGGCUCGUAGGCGGCCAAUUAAGUCAGACGUGAAAUCCCUCGGCUUAACCGGGGAACUGCGUCUGAUACUGGAUGGCUUGAAUCCGGGAGAGGGAUGCAGAAUUCCAGGUGUAGCGGUGAAAUGCGUAGAUAUCUGGAGGAAUACCGGUGGCGAAGGCGGCAUCCUGGACCGACAUUGACGCUGAGGAGCGAAAGCUAGGGGAGCAAACGGG
rnacentral:rRNA from 1 species